GACGAACGCUGGCGGCGUGCUUAACACAUGCAAGUCGAACGGAAAGGCCUGCAGCUUGCUGCGGGUACUCGAGUGGCGAACGGGUGAGUAACACGUGGGUGAUCUGCCUUGCACUUCGGGAUAAGCUUGGGAAACUGGGUCUAAUACCGGAUAGGACAGCUGUUUAGUGUCAGUUGUGGAAAGUUUUUUCGGUGCAAGAUGAGCUCGCGGCCUAUCAGCUUGUUGGUGGGGUAAUGGCCUACCAAGGCGUCGACGGGUAGCCGGCCUGAGAGGGUGUACGGCCACAUUGGGACUGAGAUACGGCCCAGACUCCUACGGGAGGCAGCAGUGGGGAAUAUUGCACAAUGGGCGUAAGCCUGAUGCAGCGACGCCGCGUGGGGGAUGAAGGCCUUCGGGUUGUAAACUCCUUUCGACAGGGACGAAGCUUUUGUGACGGUACCUGUAUAAGAAGCACCGGCUAACUACGUG
rnacentral:rRNA from 1 species